rnacentral:rRNA from 1 species
AUGUUUGCAGCCAUCAUGAAUAUGCAGGAUGAUGAUGGCAACACUGGGUUGCACCUUGCUGUCGAGGCCGGAAUUUUAGAAACUGUGUGCUUUUUACUGUGGGACAAGGAAGUUAUGUUAAAUUUAUCAAAUAACGAGAGGGAAACUGCACUGGAUCUUUCACAGCGCAUGCGGACCCCAGGUGUCCUUUUUGGUUUGGGCCGACGGGUUUCGAUCCACAAACUUUUAGUGCAUGCUGAUGCUCAGUACGGUGUUCAUAGUAAAACCCGCAUCCCUGAACUAAAUGAGGAGAAGGAAGAAAAAAGGAUCUCGGAUUCGACACAGACCAUUGGGGUUGUGUCAGCGCUACUCGUGACGAUUUCCUUUGCGGUAGCUUUCACCAUACCCGGAGGCUAUCGAACAGAUGAUGACCCUAAGGUCGAUAAUAUUAAGGGCGGCAUGCCGGUGCUUGUCACAAGCCACUCUCUUCAGGCAUUCAUUAUCGCCAACAACCUGGCGUUGCUCUGCUCCGCCAUGGCCACCAUCAGCCUCAUGUACGCCGGAGUGACCACUGUCGACAUCAGCAUGCGCAUGAAAGCCUUCGUCAUGUCCAUCUUCUUCCUCAACAGCUCAGCCCGAACGCUGGCUGCGGCGUUUGCGUUGGGCAUGUACGCGACGCUGGUUCCUGCGGCUGGCGCAGCAGUUACUCUUACGGUUAUAGGCACCACUAUCACGCUGCUUGACGUUGCUUGGUUCACGUACAUGACAUCCAAGGAUCAGCUAGUGCUUCGGAAGAGGAUGGGUGUUGGCGUGGCCUUGAAAUGGUUUGCGCUUUUGGUCCUACGUGGGGUGCUGGCGUGUCUCUGGCCGUACGUCAUAAUCGGCGGUUUCUUAGCCUAUAUUACAUUAUGGAGUAAGUGA